rnacentral:lncRNA from 1 species
UUCUCAGCAGCUUUAGGGCUUCCAUGUUUCUUUGUGGUAGCUAAUAAAAUAAAAUACAGAAAAAAAAAAAUAUUGUUAUUCCAUUCAAACUUUCAAUUCAAUUUAAAAAAUUAAAAUGGAAAAUUUAAUUGCUAAAAACUAACUUUUAACUAUUUAAUGAAAUGAGAUUCAUACACCGUACAUAAAAAAGAAAAAUAACAAAAAAGUGAAAUAAACUAAAAUUUAAUUCCUAAUCACCAAACUUUAUUGCUGCCCCUAUAGAUGAACUCUCAAUAAUAGAUGGUAAAUAGCCCGUUGCGUCUUUGUAAUUCUGCUGAAUCUGGAUACUCAAACCACAAUUAUGUCAAUCAAGUCCCUAUACUAACAAGUGUAAAUGAAUUUUUUAAAUACCUAAUAGUAAUAAACUAAGAAAAGAAGAAUAAUCAAGUUCAUAAAGCUAUCUUGGAGAAGUAAAAAUUAAUGUUACUGCUUGAACUGGUAUUGAGAAAAUAUUAUCUAGAAAAUGUGUAUAAUAAACACUUCUAAAUUGCUAAAUUCUCCAUGCUCUUGGUUAAAAGAGAGCAUAUUUCUCUCAAACCA